rnacentral:lncRNA from 1 species
GCGGCGGCGGCGGCGGAUGCGCGGCGACCUGGUUGGUAGUCUCGCGGCUCCGUCCCGCCGCCAGCACCCUGGCCAGCAGCAGCUCCGGACAGGAUUCAUCCACCGGAAGCAUCACCCGCGCGCUGUCUGUCCGGAUGUCCACUGCCACAGCUCCUGCCUCAGCUGCUACGUCGCCGCUGACGCCCGGAGACGUUUGAUGUUGUCGUCUUCGGCGCUGUCGCUGCACUUGCGGACUUAGCUGUCCCACUGGGGCUUGACUGAGUGGCCCGCCUGG